ACGGAGGGUGCAAGCGUUAUCCGGAAUCAUUGGGUUUAAAGGGUCCGCAGGCGGACUUAUAAGUCAGUGGUGAAAGCCUACAGCUUAACUGUAGAACUGCCAUUGAUACUGUAAGUCUUGAAUUCGGUCGAAGUGGGCGGAAUGUGACAUGUAGCGGUGAAAUGCUUAGAUAUGUCACAGAACACCGAUAGCGAAGGCAGCUCACUAGGCCUGAAUUGACGCUCAUGGACGGAAGCGUGGGGAGCAAACAGG
rnacentral:rRNA from 1 species